rnacentral:rRNA from 1 species
UACGGAGGGGACUAGCGUUGUUCGGAAUUACUGGGCGUAAAGCGUGCGCAGGCGGUUCUAUAAGACAGAUGUGAAAUCCCCGGGCUCAACCUGGGAACUGCAUUUGUGACUGUAGAGCUGGAGUGCGGCAGAGGGGGAUGGAAUUCCGCGUGUAGCAGUGAAAUGCGUAGAUAUGCGGAGGAACACCGAUGGCGAAGGCAAUCCCCUGGGCCUGCACUGACGCUCAUGCACGAAAGCGUGGGGAGCAAACAGG